rnacentral:tRNA from 1 species
UAGAAAAACGGGACUCGAACCCGCACCUAAAGGCCCAAAACCUUUAGCACUCCAUUAUGCUAUUCUCU